rnacentral:rRNA from 1 species
ACGCGAGCUGGGUUUAGAACGUCGUGAGACAGUUCGGUCCCUAUCUACCGUGGGAGUAGGAGUUUUGAGAGGAUCUGCCCUUAGUACGAGAGGACCGGGGUGGACAUUCCUCUGGUGGAGCUGUUGUCGCGCCAGCGGCAUUGCAGCGUAGCUAUGAAUGGAACGGAUAACCGCUGAAAGCAUCUAAGCGGGAAACCAACCUCAAUACGAGAGCUCCCUUGAGAGUCGUUCAAGACUAGGACGUUGAUAGGCUGGGUGUGGA